UACGUAGGUGGCAAGCGUUGUCCGGAAUUAUUGGGCGUAAAGCGCGCGCAGGCGGUCCUUUAAGUCUGAUGUGAAAGCCCCCGGCUCAACCGGGGAGGGUCAUUGGAAACUGGAGGACUUGAGUACAGGAGAGAAGAGUGGAAUUCCACGUGUAGCGGUGAAAUGCGUAGAGAUGUGGAGGAACACCGAUGGCGAAGGCAGCCUCCUGGGCCAAUACUGACGCUCAUGCACGAAAGCGUGGGGAGCAAACAGG
rnacentral:rRNA from 1 species